AGAGUUUGAUUCUGGCUCAGGANNNACGCUGGCGGCGUGCCUAACACAUGCAAGUGGAGCGACGAACCGGGCUUCGGCCCGGAGCAAAGCCGCGAACGGGUGAGUAACACGUGGGUAACCUGCCCUGAUGAUUGGGACAACCCGAGGAAACUCGGGCUAAUACCGAAUGUGCCCUCUGGCCAUAAGGCCGCUGGGGAAAGGAAGCUUCGGCCUCCGCAUCGGGAUGGGCCCGCGGCCCAUUAGCUUGUUGGUAAGGUAAUGGCUUACCAAGGCGACGAUGGGUAGCUGGUCUGAGAGGACGAUCAGCCACACUGGGACUGAGACACGGCCCAGACUCCUACGGGAGGCAGCAGUGGGGAAUCUUGCGCAAUGCGCGGAAGCGUGACGCAGCAACGCCGCGUGGGGGAAGAAGGCCUUCGGGUUGUAAACCCCUUUCAGUUGGGACGAAGCUCCGCCGGUGAACAGUCGGCUGGAGUGACGGUACCUUCAGAAGAAGCCCCGGCUAACUACGUGCCAGCAGCCGCGGUAAUACGUAGGGGGCAAGCGUUGUCCGGAAUCAUUGGGCGUAAAGAGCGUGUAGGCGGCUCGAAAAGUCUGCUGUGAAAGUCCAGGGCUCAACCCUGGAAUGCCGGUGGAAACUGUCGAGCUAGAGUCCGGAAGAGGCGAGUGGAAUUCCUGGUGUAGCGGUGAAAUGCGCAGAUAUCAGGAGGAACACCAAUGGCGAAGGCAGCUCGCUGGGACGGUACUGACGCUGAGACGCGAAAGCGUGGGG
rnacentral:rRNA from 1 species